AUUGAACGCUGGCGGCAGGCCUAACACAUGCAAGUCGAACGAGUGGCGGACGGGUGAGUAAUGUCUGGGAAACUUCCCGAUGGAGGGGGGUAACUACUGGAAACAGUAGCUAAUACCGCAUACCAUCGGAUGUGCCCAGAUGGGAUUAGCUGGUAGGGGGGUUAACGGCUCACCUAGGCGACGAUCCCUAGCUGGUCUGAGAGGCUGACGAGCCACACUGGAACUGAGACACGGCCCAGACUCCUAGGGGAGGCAGCAGUGGGGAACAUUGCAAAAUGGGCGCAAGCCGGAUGCAGCCAGGCCGCGUGGAUGAAGAAGGCCUUGGGGUUGUAAAGUACUUUCAGCGAGGAGGCGUUACCCGCAGAAGAAGCACCGGCUAACUCCGUGCCAGCAGCCGCGGUAAUUC
rnacentral:rRNA from 1 species